ACUCCAACUGUGUUAGGUUCCCCAGGAGGAUGGGAUAUGACUAGUAGGAUUGUUGCUGGCAAGGUUGAGCAAAUGAAGCCCCUUGAGGCUCCCAAUGGAAGUUGGAAUCUGUCCUUUGAAAUUGUUACUUGAGAAAUCAAUUGCUAUGAAAUACCAGUGAUCUCCUCAUAAAACCUCUUCAUGCCUUUGUUUGUCAUUGUCAUUGAGUACAUGUAAUUGAAAGUCCACGUAUAACUCCGGAUUUGAAUCUUUUGAUUGGCCUGCAUGUACUUAAGGUGGUUUGCAUCUGUAAGUUUCAUGGCAUCCCAAUUUUGGAAAUACUCUGAUGGCAAAUCACUUAUAAACUCAUUGUUAGAGAGGUAGAUGAUGCGCAACUUGGGAAACCUGAAAUUGGUGUACCAACUCCCUAUUGCACCAUGGAAUCUGUUGGAUGUCAAAAUAAGAACUUGUAGCUGUGGGAGAGCUCCUAUCCAAAAAGGGAAAAUAUCAUCGAUUUGAUUGUUUCCAAGAGCAAGGUGCUCGAGCAUCGUGCAAUUGGCCAAUGAUCUUGGUAUAUAGUAAUGACUAAUGUGCAUUGACAACAACCCAGUAGGCCAGUCGGCCCAUUAAUUUUAAUCUGUUUCAGAAUUUGCCCCUCCAUGACUCUUUGUUACUAAUAAAAAUCUCCAUUUAUUAUAUGACCUGCAUUGGCUUAAGCUGAUGAACCCGCUCUCUCUCCGAUUGGUGACUUGAUAGAAGCUCUGGUGGAGCCCAAAUUCCACAAGUGAUGAGAUUGCAGAAAGCUAGUUAACCACAAAAAUAGUGGUCGUCCUUGACCUCUAUGGAGAUGCUGAAUGAAUGGCCAAAAUUCAUUUAAGAAUGCUGGGCCUUAUAUGAAAAACUCCAAAUGAAGCUGUCUCCAUUUGGAGUCAUGACGUGAAGAGAACGGCAAAAGACUUCAGCAAAUGGACAAAAGUAGCACCGUGUAUGAAAGUCUAAAGGGAAAGAGAAAAUUCUGUUUGGAUCGACUAAAUGAUUGAACUGUUAAUCCAUGAUAUGUCAAGGAUGUGCUCAUCUGUGUUCUAUGACAAAGGUUCAGCAUUCUCUAAAUCAUUUUUUUUUUCAUAAUUAAUAUUCAUUUUUUAAACAAAAUCAUCUAGCUGAUAAAAAAAAUUAUGCUUAACUCAAAUAAAUAUUCCCAUUUACUUCAUAUCCAAAAGGUUUAAUUGUGUGUCAUAUCCUUGUUCUAAAGUUUCUGGAAAGAAGACUUAUAAAAUGAUGUGGUAAGGUUGUUUUUGAAGAUAAAACCGAACAUAGGGUGAUAGUUGAUAUCUCUUCCUCUCACCUUCUCAACAAGGACAAAUAAUUAGAUGGAUUUUCACGCCCAAGAAGCUUUUUUGAUAGAAAAGAAGAUUCUUUAUUUUAAUUACUCUGCAAUCAAGGGGUUAAGUUCCAUCGUAAAGUUUUAAGUGCCAUAUAUUAAGACAGACAAAAGACCUUUGCAGAAGAGUCAAAUAACUAAGAUCUUCAGUUUGUGGUUAAUUACAAUCUGCAAUACUGUUGCAUAAAUAUAAACCACCAAGCACUUUUACAUCCCUGGUGGCUCAUUAUACUGCUACUAGUUAUAUAUAAAAGACUCUUAACUCUAAGCUAGGCCAGUGUCCAUUUUCACCUCUUUGCCAGAAAAAAAAUAUUAUAAAUACAAUGCAGUCAUAUUACUUCUGGUAUAUAAAUGUUCUGGGCUUUUGGUUGCUGCAGCCCACAGGAGAAGAGAAACAAAAGGUAAAUGAAGCGAUAAAACUAGCAUUUGUAGUUUAUUACAAGCCUCAAGCCUCUUGCAUUGUUAGUAUCAUCUCAUUACUCAACAAAAGAGGAAGUUUCAAGAGGAAAAAGGGAGAGAAAUCAAAUAGCCGUGGAAUAAAAAGAAAAAAAAGGAAGAAAUUGAGCAGUACUAGAAACACAUAGAUUUAAAUCUCUUGAGAAAAAUGUGGACGGAUGAUUUAGAAUAUGUUUGACAACUAUUUUCUUAAAACAUUUUUUUGAUCUUUGGAAAAAAAAAAGAGAAGAAAAACAUGUUUGACAAUUAGAAAAUAGAAAAUAGUUUUAUAAUCUUAAAAACAAAAAGUAACUUAUUUUUUUUAAAAAAUUUUUAGUUAUUUUUUAAAUAAUUAUAUAAUUAUAAAGUGAUUAAAAAUAAAGUAUUACAAAUAAAAGCUAUUUUUAAAAUAUAUUUAAAAAUAUAGAAAAUAGAUUAAGAACAUUUCAAGUUUCUAAACAAAUUUUUGAAUUUUUGUAUUAAAAUACAUCAUAUAACAAUUUUCAAAAACUAUUUUUAAAAACAAUUCCCAUUUAAUAUAUAUGUCUCUCUUUUCCCUUCUUUCUCCAUUUGGAUUGUCACAUUGCAAGAGUUUUCAUAUCCCAUCAAUGUGACUUGAUAAAAGGAAAAAGGAAUACCAAAAGAAGCGAUGAGAGUAACACCUUCAGUUUGCAGUUCAAUACAAGCCAUAAUCAAGUUGGAUCGCUACACUAUACAUAAUAAGAAACCCAAGCAAUUUUUACAUCCAUUUAUCAACACAGACACAAGUUGAAGUAACACCAUGACUAAAAAGGAAAAAGAAAUGAGGAAAGAAGUCCAACAAUGCAAACAAUAUACAUAGAUUAAGAAAUUUUACAAGGAAUUUUGGGUUGGAUAAAUACAGCCUAUGUGCCCCUUCUUUCAUUCCUUGUCCAUUUUCUUUGCCGCUUUCCAAAGGUUUUCACAAACCAUUUAUGUUUCCAUGAGGUCAAACAAUACCCAAUUGAAACUCCGAUUACUAGCCCACUUCCGUAUCCCAUUAGGACAAAUUUCCAAUCAAAUUCACUAGUUGAACCUUGUUUAGAGGAUGAAGGUGUUGAUGGUGAUGCCUCAGAACUUCCACAUGCCCUUGACAAAGGACUUCCACACAACCCCGGGUUCCCAUCAAAGGAAGUAUUUGGAAAUGUUGCAAAUUGUUUUCCUUGUGGUAUAGGCCCUGUAAGAUGAUUAUUAGACACAUUGAAGAAAGCGAGGAAUGUCAUCCUUGUUAGUUGCCAAGGGAUCUCUCCUGAGAGCUUGUUCUGGGAAAGAUCCAAUGAUUCCAUCUGUGUUAGGUUCAUCAGGGAGGAUGGGAUAUGGCCGGUAAUAUUGUUGCGGCCAAGGUUGAGCAAAUGAAGUCCCUUGAGGUUCCCAAUGGAGGUUGGAAUUUGUCCUUUGAAAUUGUUGCCAGAGAAAUCAAUUGCUAUGAAAGUAUCAGGGAUUUCCUGAUAAAACCUCUGCAUGCCUUUGUUUGUCAUUGUCAUUGAGUAUAUGUACUUGAAAGUCUGCGUAUACCCUGGGCUUUGAAACGUUUGAUUGGCCUGCAUGACCUUGAGGUGGUUUGCAUCUGCAAGUUUCAUGGCAUCCCAAUUUUGGAAAUACACUGAUGGCAAAUCACCUAUAAACUCGUUGUCAGAGAGGUCAAUAAUGCGCAACUUGGGAAACCUGAAAUUGGUGUGCCAGCUCCCUAUUGCACCAUGGAAUCUGUUGGAUCUCAAAAUAAGAACCUGUAGCUGUGGGAGAGCUCCUAACCAAAAAGGGAAAAUAUCAUGGAUUUGAUUGUUUCCGAGAACAAGUUGCUCGAGCAUUGUGCAAUUGGCCAAUGAUAUUGGGAUUUGACCUUGGAAUUGAUUUUCACUUAAGUCGAUCAUCCUCAAACUGCUUGGGUUGGUGCACAUCUGAGGAAUGGGGCCAUGCAAGUUGUUGCCUCCGAGAUUGAGUAUAGACAACGAAGAGCUAAGGCUGGUCAAGGAUUGAGAAAUUUGGCCAGUAAAAAGGUUAAAUGAAAGGUCUAAAAUAGACAGCUGGGUAAGGUGACUAAGUGAAGAUGGGAUCAUCCCUGUGAAUUUGCAUGAGUCGAGGUCCAAUACAGUCAAAGAAACAAGCCUCCCAAUUGAAGCUGGUAACUCACCAGAAAAACUUGUACCAGCAAGAAACAACAUUUUUAGGGGACUGGUUUCCUGAAAUUCAGGUAAAUAACCGGUCAGACCUGGAUUGUACCUCACACUAAGAAGCUGUAGGCUUGGAAGCCGAAAAAUGUUCAUUGGGAAUUCACCAUACAGUCCACAUCCUCUCAAAAGGAGAGAUGUCAAUGAAGAUAAAUUUGCCAACACAUGAGGUAUUGUUGAAGAAAUGUUCACCAGGUUUAGAUGAAGUGUCUUUAAGUGGGUUAAGUUUUGAACUAGAUUUCUCAAGCCAGGCUUUUGAAGCUCCAACAUUGGGUUUCUCGAGAGAUCAAGGAAAACCAAUUUGGACAAUGCUAAGAGUUCCGAUGGGAUUUGGCCUGAGAAUUUAGAACCAGAGAGGUUAAGACUUCUAAGCCUUGAAAGCUGACCAACUUUAUGUGGGACCUCAGAGUAAUUGAAAUCAUUAUCGGAAAGGUCAAGCGUACUGAGAUGAACGAGACUGAAGAGGGUGUUGCUGGAGUUGAUAGAACCAUAGAGACAACUACUUGCGAGGUGAAGGCCGAUGACAUGACCAGUCUCCUUGUCACACUCAACACCAUCCCAUGAACAGCAAUCACUUUCCUCUCCUUCUCCAUGGGAUUUCCACGUUGAAACUUUUGGAUAAGCAGAAGGAUCAUCAGAAGCAUCCUCAUCAAUCAAGAAGCUUUGCUUGAACUGAAGCAAGGCAGAACUCUCACUAGCAUGGCACAGUGGGUGCUGCAUAGCAGAGGAAGCAUUGGUUACCAUUAGAUAAAAAGAUGAGGGUAAAAGGAGAAAGCGCAUGAACAUGAAGAGAUACAAAGCUGAGCCCAUAUUUUCUAUGGACAAAGAAAGCAAAUGGGAGGGAUGAGGGUUCACAGGCAGGAUCCGUACUCUAAUAUAGCAAUUUUGACUAAUGUGCAUUGACAGUAACCCAGUAGGCCAGUCUGCCCACAAAUUUUAAACUAACUCAGAACAUGCCCCUCCAUGUGUCCUUGUUACUAACAACAAAAAUCUCAGCCACAAGUCAAGUCGUCUCCGUAGGCUUACGGGUGUCGACAUUAAGCAAAAUCUUUAUUUAUUAAAUGACCGGCGCUGCCUCUCUCUUCAACUGUCCUUAUUAUUUUAAUUCAUUUCAAAUAAAAUAUUUAUACCUUAUUGAAAUAUUAAUAUCCAUAUUUUAUCUUUAUUUUCUUAACACAAAAAAUGCCAUUCAUAUUUUACUAAUUAUUGUUUAUAAAAUUGUUUUCUUAUUUUUUCACAAAUUUUAAAUUGUAUUUAAUUUAAUAUUAAUAUAAAAUUGAAAUUACAAAUCCUUUUACAGAAUAAAAAAAAUUAUUUGUGUCUUUAAAAGUUCUUUGCAAUCAAGAUAUUGUUUGAUACAUUUUUUAUUUUCUAUUUAAAAAAAAAAUUGAUACUCUUCUAAGAAUCUCUCCAUUUUUCUGGGUCUUUGCCAAGAACUAGGUCAAAGAUUACAGCGGUUGGUUUGUAGUUGAGUGAGAGAUCCACCCAUCUUGAAUUUAGGCAUGGUCUUUCAUCAAUGGUGAACCAUGAACCUUCAUGGCAAAGUUUCAGCCGACAGAUUUGUCCAAUAAAGCGGCUAAAAAUUUCCUUAGUUUCUCGAUCACACAAAAACAGGUCAGGAUUUAAAUAGUUUCACACUAUUAUCUAUAUGAAUAUAUUCAUGGAGUCGAAAAUUUUGAAGUCAAUGAUCAUUAACGUUCAAAAUAUAAAAGAAAUUAUGAUUUUUAGAAAACUACAAAAUUCCCAAAAAGAUCAAUAUCCGAGCCCAUUAGUCCUCCAGCCUUUAAAACAGAAAAUUCAAUAACAUAAAAAGGCCUAAAAUCUCUCAAGACCCUCCAAGAGCAGUAAGGACAUGUUACCAAACAACACUGGAAAGUUGAAACCAGGUCUCAGUAAUGUACUAGAUGGAACCAUCAAAGUUUAUUUCAUAUCGGACAGGCAGGGCAGCUCAGGCCAGGGAAGGAAUGCAGUGGCCCCAUUUUCCAUUUGACAAUGAGGAGCAGAGGAAGCAAAAAGCAGUUCAGAACCUCAAGCAAUAAUAAGAGUGUACUUAAACUAGAUUGAUUACAGUUUGUUGAUUUUCCACAGUUCCGUGUGCACUGUUCCAAAAAAUGGCAAGGCAUAAGAAUAACCACUACCCUAAAUUAUUGACAGAAUUAUAGUUUCUAAAUGUUGCAAAGUUGACCAAAAAUAGUAGACAUGUAUAGCUAUAAAAAUGGAUUAAAUUUGGGUUUACAUAUAUGAUAGUGGGUUGGGAUCUAGACCAUUCAUACAGGUUUGACAAGGUCAGUUUCUGGCUCUAACUGGGCAACUAUCUGAAUACUUUCCUUCUAAAGGAAUAAGAGGUAUUUGUCUUGGUCGGACGGUAUGCUUACAGUACCUUGCGGCUCAAUUAAACAUAUGCCAAGAAGCUUCCUGGUAUGCUAUGCUCGAAAGAUUUAACUUCAUGAAAUCAAAAAGACAUGAUCAAUUUUGAUACUGAAAUAAUUGCAAUACUGAAUAUAUGCUCUAUUAAACUUUCCAAGAAAAAUCACUUCCUGGUUUCAACUCUACUUGAACAACCUAUAAAAGGAGAGCCAAUUUUAUAUACUAACUUUAUUACAUCAAAUUUUAAAAAUUUUAAUGACGUGAGCUCACUGGAAGUGAUUAAGGCGGCCUUGUUAUGCCAUACUAGACCUGUCCCUCAAGUCUUUAGUGGAGCUGGAAGGAAAAUUUCGAAGUCUUAAAGCAAGCUAUUGCAGUUGAUUUCCAUUUGCACAUCUCAAAGUCUUUAGUGGAGCAAGAAGAGAUGUGAAUAUGUCUAUUUGCAACUGAUUUUCAUCCAGAGAGCAAAAACAAUAGCAGACGAGCAAAGUAAACGAGUUCACAUUCUAUUGCAGGUCUAACAUAGAAAGGGAUGUCUCCCUGUAUAUAGAUUCUGCAUGCCCAUGUAGUCAGUCCAUAAUGCUCAUUUAUUCUUGAAUUGGGGAGAUCAGAAACAAUAUUACAUAACAGAAAGAAGCAAGUUACAUUUAGAAAGCCAUAAUUUUACAUGGUUCCAUAAUAGGCCCUUUAUCAAGUCACCAACAAUGAAAAAAGAAAAAAAAUAAAAAUAAAUUAUAUGUUUUUUCAAACUCAUUUAAUUUAUUUUUACUUUUCUAUCUAAAGAUUAAAUAAUUUAAAUGUAUAUAAAUUUCUAACUAAUUUUAUUUAUAUUUUAUUAUCCUUGAUGAUAAAACCAAACAUGGGGUGAGUGUUGAUAUCUCUUCCUCCCACCUUUUCAACAGGGAUAAAUAAUUGGAUAGAUCUUCACACCCAAUAAGCUUUUUUGAUAGGAAAGAGCAUUGUUUAUUUUAAUUAUUCGGCAAUCAAGGUGCAUGUAAUAUCCCACAAGAUUGCCCCUAGCCUUGGGCCAUAAGGUGUUAUACAAGGGGUUAAGUUCCAUUGCAAAGUUCUAAGUGUCAAAUGUUAAGAUAGACAAAAGACCUUUGUAGAUGAGCCAAAUAACUGAGAUCUUUAGCUCAUGGUUGAUUACAAUUUGUAUUAAUACAGUAGCAUAAAUAUAAACCACCCAAGCACUUUUACAUCCCAAGUGGCUCAUUAUAUUAUUAGUAGUUACAUAUAAAAGCUCCUAACUCUAAGCUAGGGCAAUGUCCUUUUUCACCUAUUUGCAAGAAAAUAAAUGGAACAAUAUAAUAAAUACAAGAUAGUCAAAUUACUUCUGAUAUAUAAAAUUUUCAAACUUCUAGUUGUUGUACCCCACUGGAUAAGAAAGAGAGAAAAGAUAAAUGAAGCGAUAAAACUAGCAUUGCAGUUUAUUAUUGUGAUAUCUCAUAUAAGAUAUAAGAGAAAAUUACUAGACCUAUAUAUAUAUGGACUCCUCUUAACCAAGUAGACACGUUUUAAAUCCAUGAAAGUCUUUUUAGGCCCAAAAUGAACAAUAUUUACAUAGUUAGGAGAAAGUCAUUAUAAAUGGUAUUAGAGUCGAUCCCCGAACUCGGUGUGAGGGUUUAUUUAGCACAAUAUGGAGUAUUUGUUUGUUUGGCCCCAUAAUCUCAUGAGAUACAAUGAGGAUGUUGUGUUUGUAUGUGAGGGUGUUUGUGAUAUCAUACAUCGAAUAUAUGAGAAAGUCACUAGAGCUAUAUAUGUAUGAGCUCUUCUUAACCAAGUAGACGCAUUUUAAAACUAUGAGGGCUCCUUUGGGCCUAGAACAGAUAAUAUUUACACAGUUGGGAGUGGGUUGUUACAGAAUGGUAUCAAAGUUGAUCUCCGACCCUGGUGUGGGUGUUUGUUUGAUCUCAUACGGAGUAUUUGUCCAUUUGGUCUUGCAAUUCCGCUAGACACAACGAGGACAUUGUGACUGCAUGAGGGAGUGUUUGUAAUAUCUCACAUCGAAUAGGGGACAAAGUUACUGGGGCUAUAUAUGUAUGGAUUCCUCUUAACCAAGUAAAUGUGUUUUAAACCCAUGAGGGUCUCUUUGAACCCAGAGCGAACAAUAUCUACACGGUUGGAAGCAGGUCAUUACAAAUGAUAUCAUAGUCGAUCCUCAAUCCUUGUGUGGGGGUUUGUUUGGCCCCAUAUGGGGUGUUUGUCUGUUUGGUCCUAUAAUCCCAUGGGACACAAGGAAAACAUCGUGUUUGCAUGGGGCGGGGGGUUUUUGGAAUAUCUCACAUCAAAUAAGGGAGAAAGUUAUUGGGACACGUACUAUAAAUGUAUGGGCUCCUCUUAACCAAGUAGACGCGUUUUAAAAUUGUGAGGGCUUCUUUAGGCCAAGAGCGGACAAUAUUUACUUAGUUGGGAGCGAGUCAUUACAAUUAUAGAUCAUAGACAUCUUGUAUUGUUAGUACUGUCUCAUUACUCAACAAAAUAGGAAGUUUAAAGAAUAAAAAGAGAGAGAAAUCAAAUAGUGGCAGAAUAAGAAGAAAAAAAAAGGAAGAAAUAGAGUAGCACAAGAAACACAUGAAUUUAAAUUUCUCAAGAAAACUAUGGUUGGAUGAUAUAGGCAUGUUUGACAACUAUUUUUUGUAAAACAUUUUUCAUUUUUCAGAACAAAAAAAUAGAAAAUAGUUUUAUAAUCUUAAAAACAAAAAAUCGCGCAUUUUCGGAAAACAAUUUUUAGUUAUUUUCACUUAUUUUUUGAAUUUUUUUAGAAAUAAUUAUAUAAUUAUAGAGUGAUUAAUUAAAAUAAAGUAUUACAAAUAGAAGUUGUUUUUAGAAUACAUUUAAAAAUAUAAAAAAUAGAUUAAAAAUAUUUGAAAUUUCUAAAAAAAAAUUUGUAUUAGAAAACAUCUUAUAACAAUUUUCAAUAACUAUUUUUGAAAAAAAAAAAAUCCCAAACAAAGCUUUAAUAUUUAUGUCUCUCUUUUUCCUUCUCCAUUUGGUUUUCACAUCCCAAAAGUUUUUAUAUCCCAUCAAUAUGACUUGAUAAAAGGAAAAAAGAAUACUAAAAGAAGUGAUGAGACUAACACCUUCAGCUUGCAGUUCAAUACAUGCCAUAAUCAAGUUGGAUCGCUACACUACACAUAACUAAGAAACCUAAGCAGUUUUUACAUCCAUUCACCAACACACACAAGUUGAAGUAACAACAUGACUGAAAAGGAAAAAGAAAUGAAGAAAGAAGUCCAACAAUGCAAGCAGUAUACAUAGAUUAAGAAAUCUUUCAAGGAACUCUAGGUUGGAUAAAUUUAGCCUCUGUGCCCCCUUCUUUCAUUCCUUGUUCAUUUUCUUUGCCACUUUCCAAAGGUUUUCAUGAACCAUUCAUGUUUCCAUGAGGUCAAGUAGUACCCAAUUAAAACUUCGAUUACUAAUCCACUUUCGUAUCCCAUUACUACAAAAUUUCCAAUCAAAUUCAUUAGUUGAACCUUGUUUAGAGGAUGAAGGUGUUGGUGGUGAUGCCUCAGAACUUACACAUGUCCUUGACAAAGGACUUCCACAAAACCCCGGGUUCCCAUUAAAGGAAGCAUUUGGAAAUGUUGCAAAUUGUUUUCCUUGUGGUAUAGGCCCUGUAAGAUGAUUAUGAGACACGUUGAAGAAUGAAAGGAAUGUCAUCCUUGUUAGUUGCUAAGGGAUCUCUUCUGAGAGCUUGUUCUGGGAAAUAUCCAAGUACUCCAGCUGAGUUAGGUUCCCCAUGGAGGAUGGGAUAUGGCCAAUAAGAUUGUUGCCACCAAGGUUGAGCAAAUGAAGCCCCUUAAGGUUCAAAUACUCCUAAGAGCUUGUUCUGGGAAAGAUCCAAAUACUCCAGCUGAGUUAGGUUCCCCAUGGAGGAUGGGAUAUGGCAAGUAAGAUUGUUGCCGCCAAGGUUGAGCAAAUGAAGCCCCUUGAGGUUCCCCAUGGAGGUUGGAAUCUAUCCUUUGAAAUUGUUGCCCUAGAAAUCAAUUCCUACGAAAAUAUCAAGGAUCUUAUCAUAAAACCUCUGCAUGCCUUUGUUUGUCAUUGUCAUCGAGUACAUGUAACUGGAAAUUCACAUAUAGCUUGGGAUUUGAAUCUUGUGAUUGGCCUACAUGUGCUUAAGGUGGUUUGCAUCUGCAAGUUUCAUGGCAUCCCAAUUUUGCAA
rnacentral:lncRNA from 1 species